ACCCAACUGACGUGUCUGAAACAGGACGAAACACGCGUCCUGCAU
rnacentral:hammerhead_ribozyme from 1 species